UAUUAUUGAUCCCUCGAGUCACUAACUUUUUCUCUUCUAUACCAAAUGCACCAUACAAAUAACUUAUUUUUAUUCAUAUCAAGGGGAGAUUCUUAAACUUAAUCCCAGAUAUAAGCCACUGCUUGGUUAUAAGCCUAUAACAAAGAAGGCAAAAAUCUCGCUACCUGUUUGGAUAAAAAUGAAUAAACAAGGGACUUCAAAAAAGUGAAAUUGUUAAAGCUAUACUAUAGGAGAAAGAGAAAAUUCUAAAAUUAAUUGGACAACAACAUCAACCAGUACAACAACCACCUCUACAACAACCACAAUCUCAAGAAGUUGAAAAAUCUAUAGCGGAGCAUCAUGUUGUAGAGAAGCAAUAUGCAAAUAAUGAGCAACAUGUAGAGGAUCAAGUUCAAAUGGUUGAUUCAUCCACUCUAAUAAUAUCUAAACUUUCUAAAAAGAAAGGUACCAUAUAGCUUAGAAAAUUAUUGAAUUCAUUCGUGACUUUUAAGUUUUUUUCUAUUUUCUUAUAGUUGAAGCACCUUUCACUGGAAAAACAAGAGGCAAAUCACAAAUGCACUAGGUACAUGGCAAACAAGAGAAAAAACUGAGUUGUAACUGAGUUAGGCAGCUUUCUCGGUGUAUUGGCAAUGAAUACGACCCUUUGCCCAUUAAAUAAAUUUGAUUAGAGGUUGAUGUAUGCUAAAAAGGAUUUACGAUAUUAUACUCAGGUUUCUAAAUUCACUAUGA